AAGAAGAGGAUGAGAUUUAGGAAUUUCAAGAGAAUAAGGAAGAGAGAAUGUAAGAAAGAAAAUAGCCUUGUAAUUUUGUAUUUCUGAUUAUGUGUAAACGAAUGGUAAAAGCACAACUUUAGUAUAGUGGGUCAACCUAUGGUAAGAAAGAAAUACAUAAUUACAAGGCUAUUUCCCUUUUUACAUUCUCUCUUCCUUAUUCUCUUGAAAUCCCUAAAUCUCAUCCUCUUCUUC
rnacentral:miRNA from 1 species